rnacentral:rRNA from 1 species
AGUGAACGCUGGCGGUAGGCCUAACACAUGCAAGUCGAACGGCAGCACAGUAAGAGCUUGCUCUUACGGGUGGCGAGUGGCGGACGGGUGAGGAAUACAUCGGAAUCUACUUUUUCGUGGGGGAUAACGUAGGGAAACUUACGCUAAUACCGCAUACGACCUACGGGUGAAAGCAGGGGAUCUUCGGACCUUGCGCGAUUGAAUGAGCCGAUGUCGGAUUAGCUAGUUGGCGGGGUAAAGGCCCACCAAGGCGACGAUCCGUCGCUGGUCUGAGAGGAUGAUCAGCCACACUGGAACUGAGAAACGGUCGAGAAUCCUACGGGAGGCAGCAGUGGGGAAUAUUGGACAAUGGGCGCAAGCCUGAUCCAGCCAUACCGCGUGGGUGAAGAAGGCCUUCGGGUUGUAAAGCCCUUUUGUUGGGAAAGAAGAGCAGCAGGUUAAUACCCCGCUGUUCUGACGGUACCCAAAGAAUAAGCACCGGCUAACUUCGUG